CUUUGUUAUUCUAUUCCUAUCUGAGGGUACUAAGCUAACAAGUUACAUCAGCUUAGCUUCUGGAAUUCAUAAAACAUUUUAGGGAAUUGGCCGUCUUGUGCCCUUUCCUUCUCUAAACCUUUUUUUUUUUGACAGACUAUACACGCCACCCUGUGGCAAAUAGCGCUAUUGCAACAUCUAUAGGAAGAGGUAGCUUAAUAAUGCUCUAUACUAGGGGUAGGCAACCUUUGGCACUUCAGAUGUUGUGGACUACAUGUCCCUGAAUGCUCUUACAGCCAUAAUACUAGCAAAGUAUCAGAGGA